UCGAGUCAAGUUUCGGGAGCUUUGCAAGAUGAUUGGUCUUCAGGAAAUAGAGCAAGUGCACAAGUCUUAGGAGCAUUGUUGAAUAAUACCUGUGCAUCUUUAGCGUGUCAGUUUGUUUACUUGGUCACGUUGCACUAGUUUGUUGGGUGCAUUGCCGGAAUUGCUGGCUGUGCGUGGUUGAGCUUUGACGUGUGCUUGGUCCAC
rnacentral:lncRNA from 1 species